CGGGUGGUUAUUAGAGAACAACUAACACUGAGCAGGACCAUACGAGAGAUCACUUAAAUUUCUAUUCAAUCGUCAGUGAUUGUCUCGAUGCUAUAGGUAUGUGACUGGUCUUUUGACUUGAGAUGGUACUGCUACUCAUAGUGAGGCUGCUGGAGUUUGAUUGUCACAUAAACAUGGAUCUCAAUAAGCCCUUGUAGUGAAUGUUGGCGACAGUUGGUCCACUAUAGGAGUGGAGUGCGCAUCAAGAUAAGAUCUAUCGAUCUUGAUAGAGAGGAGU
rnacentral:lncRNA from 1 species